UGCACCCAGGGAUAGGAUAGCGGUUCACUUGGAAGCCCCCUUUUCUAUCCCUGGUACUGGC
ncrna:Monodelphis domestica (gray short-tailed opossum) microRNA mdo-mir-1544a precursor